rnacentral:lncRNA from 1 species
AUUUGCAGCAGAAUAAAAAGAAAAAAAUGAAAGGAAGGAAAAAAAAUUUCCUCUGCUAGGGUUUCGCCUCAGUCCCUUGCGCCGCUGUCCAUCCGCCGUGGUUUCAUCGCAACCAGUGGCCGGAGGCGCGCCAAACUGGGUUUUUUAACCCUUUUUCUAGCCGAUCUGAGGGCGAGGUAAGCCUCUCUCCCUUUUCUUUUACUUUUGUAUGCACAGAAACUAAACAAAAAUAAAAAACUAAAGAAAUUUUAAUAAAUCACCUUAAAACUGAUAUUUGCUUUUCUAUUGAUUUUUCUCUCUGUCAUGUAUUUCUCUUUUUCCCCUUUUACAGAUUUCUAAAGGCUUUUUAUAGCCCGAAAAAGAAAAAGAAAAAUAAUAAAAUCAACAUCUGUCUUUGCUGUUUUUUCUCUUUCGGAUUCUUUGAACCCGUUUUUGCAGGUGUCGUGGAGCGAAUUGUGCGCGUGGGGAGGCCGAUCUCCGAGUCCUGCUGCGGCUAGAGGCUGGGGAGGUUGCUGCUUGUUGCGGCUACUUGCUGCUAAGGUUUUCUGUAGUAUUGGGCUAGUUCAAUUGGGCCUACAUGUGUUGGGCCAUUCUAGGUUUAGUUGGGCCCGGGCAUUAUUGGGUUUGUACAUUACAUAUUAGAAAUUUAUGACAACAUAGAUUGUAUGAACAUAUAACAUUUGUUUAAUGCAAAUAAAUGACUGAAUAAAUUUAGAUAAAUGGUUUAAAUAUUUCAUGGUGGUUGCAUGUUAAAAAAAAAUAUUGGAAAAGAAACCGAUCAAAGAUUAGGGUUUUUGGUGGCUUAGGGUGUCGUGACUUUGUAUAAUAGCAGCUCAACGCGGUAAUGCAGAAAGGUUUCGAAUGUACUCAAGGCACCGCGACCCCACCUCUUGGUGUUGCAUUCUAUAUAGCAAAGCCCUGCAUCAGAUUCAUACGGAGAGCCAUGAAGUAACCUCUUGGCGCUACAGUGUCUAUAAGACUACAUUGUUUUGCAUUAUUUCGGGAUCUAUAAAUUUCAGUUUAUUUAAAUAAAAUUUAUAAAUUUCAAUA